CUCUGCACUACCUCACACCAAGCAUGUCAUAUAACUUACAACUUCCGUUCUUUUAGCGUGAAUAUACUUGUACUGUCAAGGUGAUUUCAACACGUGUACAAAUGUGUAGAGUCUUGUUCGCAAUGGGCUAAAGUGCAUCGUUAUGUUCUUUUGGUGAGGGGAGUUGGAUGAGAGUUUGGCACAGGUCUUCCCUGCACUCCCCCUCACGAUUACAUCUCAGGGAAAGAAAAA